GACGUAUAAUGGAAGCGCCGCCGGUGGGGCGCUCCUCCUGGCCGCGGGCACGGGCUCCUCACGUGGCCGAGCGGUUCCGCCGCACAGAGGGAGCCCGGAACCGCGCUCCACAGUGACUUCAAAGAGGGCGGGCAGCUUUGUUUCUCCGCCCCCUCGUUCAGUUAAUCCUCCCAACAAAAACGUACCUAAAACCGGCAUAGGCGAUAUUUUGGUGACGGGUCAUGGAGUUAAGACGAUAGCGGUAUCAUUGUGGAUUUACGGACCUACAACCUCCUCUACCAGCAGAACACACACAGUUCCCAGCAAGCAAAAAGAUACUAUCAGCCAAGAAUACAGAAAUAAAUCAGGGUAAAUGGAAAUGGAACAAGCCUUUAGAAGCCUUGCUCUGCGUGAUCAGUCAGCAGCUAUUUGGUACCUAACUAUUUCAAUGGCCAGCUCUUUCUUCCUUCAGUCUCAUCUCAGCUGUCACAGAAUUGAGUAAAUGCAAGUUUCCCUGCUAGUGAAAUUCCAUCAGGAGGCCUUCACUGCACCCACCUGACACAGCCUGUAGCUUCUCCAACCCCAGCAGCAGCUUGCAGGAAUGGGAAGGGAAUCUUUUCAAACAUUGGAAGAGACACACAGAAUGAAAACAACAGGAAAUGCCUUUCACGGGGCCCUCCACAGCUGUUUUUCUGCUCCUUGCAGGACAGUUUUGAACAAGUGGUUCACUCACCCAACAUCCAUAAAUCACCAUAAGUAUGACUCCACAUGAGUAAAUCCACUAAUAUCACUUUCCAUAUGUUUACCAAUAAUGACUGCUACAGAACAAUUCUGUUACAGAAGUUUCUGUAAAUAAAGACACCUGUCACAGAACAGGAAAAAUGUUUCUUCAUCUCCAGGAGGUACCAAUGCUGUUGUACUAACACAUUUAAGUAAGGGAAGUAACAGGCUUCAUAGAAAAGAAAUCUCAGGCUAACCUUCUUCUCCUGCACCAUCCAACUCUGAGAUAUUGACAAAAAGGUUCAAAAAAAAAAUCAGAAGCAAUGGGUUUUAAGAAAAAAAAACUGUUCAUACUGAAUCAGAUGGAAUGUGCCAUCUACUCUGACAUGGAUGUACACAUGUAUGCAUUUGCUCAUGCAAUCUUCUGCCAGUCAGGUAAAAAUACAGGAGACGUAAUGGAUCAUUUAAGAUAAUGUGUUCUCAAAUUCAAUUUAAGAGAUUAUACCUGAGAGGUGUUUUCACUAAAUGCCAUUUUAACAAAAAUACCACAUACCAUAGUCUAGAGGUGUUGAACAAAACAGUUCCACUAAUUUAACUCCUCGUACAUCAGAAUGUACAAAAACAAGAUGGAAAAAGACUUCAGAACCAGUAAUGGAAUGAAAGAAAAAACAAUCAUGUGGUUUACAAUUAAUUUUCAAGUUUAAUUACUCUAAAACCUGAAUACUGCUCUUUAGUAUACAAGCCUUGUGAAUUCUAUUGCUUCUUAGCUCACUAUUUUACUUAACCUCAGCACGGUCUACUGUAUAAAUUUUCAUUUGAGAUCAUGAUUACGACAGUAGCUUACUGCUGGCUUAAAACAGUCCUUGAAGACAAUUCACAAACCUCACAGGAACUCAACUUCUACACAAACAGAUGUUUGCUUUUAAGAGCUUAGUAUUCCUAGUGCAGUUUUCUGGCAAAGGAUAAAACCCAUCCUUCUAUGACAGAAAAACCCCACACCACAGUUGUCCCCUCAUCUCUUCCCCUCCCCACCUUAACUGUGUAUUGCUUUUGCAGAUUAAAAACCCCUGAAGUUUAAAGGAACUUAAUGCAAAUGUACAUAUCCUGAAGAGCUGCUUAUGUAGGUACAAUACAUAAACUACAUUUGUUUUUGACACUUUCUAAAACAAGUUUAAUUCCAUUACGUAUAUAACAUCAAAAAUUAUUUUCUGAAAUGCAGUAUUCAUAAGUAUGGUUCUAAUACUUGA